GCCUGGCUAGCUCAGUUGGUAGAGCAUGAGACUCUUAACCUCAGGGUCAUGGGUUCAAGCCCCAUGCUGGGUA
rnacentral:tRNA from 1 species